AAAGUGCUGAGAAAGAGUUGGAUGAGUAUUUGAGAUCUGGAAAAUCCAUGUUAAGAGAAGAAGUUACUGGAGAUGAUAUUGCUGAAAUUGUCAGUAAGUGGACUGGCAUCCCGGUUUCCAAGCUCAAACAAUCAGAAAAAGAGAAGCUUCUACAUUUGGAGGAAGAGCUGCAUAAACGUGUGGUGGGUCAGGAUCCUGCAGUGAAAUCAGUAGCUGAGGCAAUUCAGAGAUCUCGUGCUGGUCUCUCAGAUCCCCGGCGUCCAAUAGCUAGCUUCAUGUUCAUGGGUCCCACUGGUGUUGGAAAAACAGAACUAGCUAA
rnacentral:misc_RNA from 1 species